rnacentral:rRNA from 1 species
UACAGAGGGGGCAAGCGUUGUUCGGAAUUACUGGGCGUAAAGGGCGCGUAGGCGGCCUGCUAAGUCGAACGUGAAAUCCCUGGGCUCAACCCAGGAACUGCGUCCGAUACUGGUUGGCUUGAAUCCGGGAGAGGGAUGUGGAAUUCCAGGUGUAGCGGUGAAAUGCGUAGAUAUCUGGAGGAACACCGGUGGCGAAGGCGACAUCCUGGACCGGUAUUGACGUUGAGGCGCGAAAGCUAGGGGAGCAAACGGG